rfam:Amphibacillus xylanus NBRC 15112 DNA, complete genome.
AUAAAAAAAGCCUGCAGAACAUUAGUCUGCAGGCCCUUUUUAGUUCUUGAUAGGAACUAAAAAGGCAAAGGGAGAGGAGAAACCGGAAAAAGCGCCUAUGGGGAAACGUAGGCUGAUUCCGUCU